UUAAUGGACGAGACCAGCCCCGACUGGACUCCGAGUCAGCACCUGGGGCAUGGUGGUGGUGGAGGCUGUUCGGCCAGCGCAAGCGCUACUACCGUUCAAAGGAACGAACAGCGAGGAAAGCCGUUGCCGCGAAAUCAAGUUCUACUUGCAGUCAUAAGGAUGCCGGUGAUGAGGUCCUGAACUUCCCACUGACCACAGCAGCGGAGCAGCUCAUUGCCCCCAACUUCUAGCAAUGACUCUGAUAACAACACAGAUCUGACGAUUCAAGAUGUGCAAGCACAUGAGACCCGCGUCAGAGUUGCAUGCAACAAGAAAGCAGCAAGUGAUGCUAAUAGAAGAAUCCCUACGUGAAGACCCAGGAAAGGUGUUUUUUUACACAGGACUGGCCAGCAUUGGAAUUCUCUUUGCCACGUUCAAGCUGGUUGAAGCAGCUGUGAGACAUACUCCACAGAAUGGCCUGGAGAAGUUCACAGAGUUUGUGGUUUUCGUAAUGAAGUUGAAAUGGAACUUCCCUCUGCAAGAUCUUGCUUACAGUUUUAACAUUUCAUGCUCAACUGUUAGCAGGGCCUUCGACAAGUGGCUGCAAGGGGCAUUUCGGCGUUU